UUGACCUCGGAUCAGGUAGGAAUACCCGCU
rnacentral:ncRNA from 22 species